rnacentral:rRNA from 1 species
CGGACUGUAGGCUGCAACUCGCCUACACGAAGCUGGAAUCGCUAGUAAUCGCGGAUCAGCACGCCGCGGUGAAUACGUUCCCGGGCCUUGUACACACCGCCCGUCACACCAUGAGAGUCUGUAACACCCAAAGCCGGUGGGAUAACCUUUAUAGGAGUCAGCCGUCUAAGGUAGGACAGAUGAUUAGGGUGAAGUCGUAACAAGGUACC